rnacentral:rRNA from 1 species
AGAGUUUGAUCAUGGCUCAGAUUGAACGCUGGCGGCAGGCCUAACACAUGCAAGUCGAGCGGAAACGAUCCUAGCUUGCUAGGAGGCGUCGAGCGGCGGACGGGUGAGUAACGCGUGGGAAUCUACCGAGUAGUGGGGGACAACUUAGGGAAACUUAAGCUAAUACCGCAUACGCCCUACGGGGGAAAGAGGGGGAUCUUCGGACCUCUUGCUAUUCGAUGAGCCCGCGUCAGAUUAGCUAGUUGGUGGGGUAAAGGCCUACCAAGGCGACGAUCUGUAGCUGGUCUGAGAGGAUGAUCAGCCACACUGGGACUGAGACACGGCCCAGACUCCUACGGGAGGCAGCAGUGGGGAAUAUUGGACAAUGGGGGCAACCCUGAUCCAGCCAUGCCGCGUGUGUGAAGAAGGCCUUCGGGUUGUAAAGCACUUUCAGUUGUGAGGAAGGGGUGUUAGUUAAUACCUAGCAUCAUUGACGUUAACAACAGAAGAAGCACCGGCUAACUUCGUGCCAGCAGCCGCGGUAAUACGAGGGGUGCAAGCGUUAAUCGGAAUUACUGGGCGUAAAGCGCGCGUAGGCGGUUAUUUAAGCCAGAUGUGAAAUCCCCGGGCUCAACCUGGGAACUGCAUUUGGAACUGGGUAACUAGAAUGCAGCAGAGGAUAGUGGAAUUUCAGGUGUAGCGGUGAAAUGCGUAGAGAUCUGAAGGAACAUCAGUGGCGAAGGCGACUGUCUGGGCUGACAUUGACGCUGAGGUGCGAAAGCGUGGGCAGCAAACAGGAUUAGAUACCCUGGUAGUCCACGCCGUAAACGAUGUCUACUAGCCGUUGGGAUCUUUAAGAUUUUAGUGGCGCAGCUAACGCGAUAAGUAGACCGCCUGGGGAGUACGGUCGCAAGAUUAAAACUCAAAGGAAUUGACGG